rnacentral:rRNA from 1 species
UACGUAGGGGGCGAGCGUUGUCCGGAGUUACUGGCGUAAGCGCAACGCAGGCGGUCUGCUAAGUUUGGAGUGACAGUUGGUGGCUUAACUGCCAAAGUGCUUCGAAAACUGAACAGACUUGAGGGCUUACAGAGGGACACGGAAUUCCGGGUGGAGUGGUGAAAUGCGGUAGAGAUCCGGAGGAACACCAAAGGCGAAGGCAGGUGUCCUAGGGGAG